rnacentral:rRNA from 1 species
ACAUGCAAGUCGAGCGGACAGAAGGGAGCUUGCUCCCGGAUGUUAGCGGCGGACGGGUGAGUAACACGUGGGUAACCUGCCUGUAAGACUGGGAUAACUCCGGGAAACCGGAGCUAAUACCGGAUAGUUCCUUGAACCGCAUGGUUCAAGGAUGAAAGACGGUUUCGGCUGUCACUUACAGAUGGACCCGCGGCGCAUUAGCUAGUUGGUGAGGUAACGGCUCACCAAGGCGACGAUGCGUAGCCGACCUGAGAGGGUGAUCGGCCACACUGGGACUGAGACACGGCCCAGACUCCUACGGGAGGCAGCAGUAGGGAAUCUUCCGCAAUGGACGAAAGUCUGACGGAGCAACGCCGCGUGAGUGAUGAAGGUUUUCGGAUCGUAAAGCUCUGUUGUUAGGGAAGAACAAGUGCAAGAGUAACUGCUUGCACCUUGACGGUACCUAACCAGAAAGCCACGGCUAACUACGUGCCAGCAGCCGCGGUAAUACGUAGGUGGCAAGCGUUGUCCGGAAUUAUUGGGCGUAAAGGGCUCGCAGGCGGUUUCUUAAGUCUGAUGUGAAAGCCCCCGGCUCAACCGGGGAGGGUCAUUGGAAACUGGGAAACUUGAGUGCAGAAGAGGAGAGUGGAAUUCCACGUGUAGCGGUGAAAUGCGUAGAGAUGUGGAGGAACACCAGUGGCGAAGGCGACUCUCUGGUCUGUAACUGACGCUGAGGAGCGAAAGCGUGGGGAGCGAACAGGAUUAGAUAC